GAGGCGAACCGGGGGAACUGAAACAUCUAAGUACCCCGAGGAAAAGAAAUCAACCGAGAUUCCCCCAGUAGCGGCGAGCGAACGGGGAGCAGCCCGGAGUCUGAAUCAGCUUGUGUGUUAGUGGAAGCGUCUGGAAAGUCGCAGGGUACAGGGUGAUACUCCCGUACACUAAAACACACAGGCUGUGAACUCGAAGAGUAGGGCGGGACACGUGGUAUCCUGUCUGAAUAUGGGGGGACCAUCCUCCAAGGCUAAAUACUCCUGACUGACCGAUAGUGAACCAGUACCGUGAGGGAAAGGCGAAAAGAACCCCGGCGAGGGGAGUGAAAAAGAACCUGAAACCGUGUACGUACAAGCAGUAGGAGCCCCACCACCAAAGCGUUUCGCUUUGCGUGGUGCGCAAAAUGCGUAACGACAGCAUGAUGGACGGUUAACGGAGCGUCAGCGACGUUCAACCUCAAAAAUCAGGCAGUGGAGCGUUUUGGGGUGGGGUGACUGCGUACCUUUUGUAUAAUGGGUCAGCGACUUAUAUUCUGUAGCAAGGUUAACCGUAUAGGGGAGCCGCAGGGAAACCGAGUCUUAACUGGGCGUUAAGUUGCAGGGUAUAGACCCGAAACCCGGUGAUCUAGCCAUGGGCAGGUUGAAGGUUGGGUAACACUAACUGGAGGACCGAACCGACUAAUGUUGAAAAAUUAGCGGAUGACUUGUGGCUGGGGGUGAAAGGCCAAUCAAACCGGGAGAUAGCUGGUUCUCCCCGAAAGCUAUUUAGGUAGCGCCUCGUGAACUCAUCUUCGGGGGUAGAGCACUGUUUCGGCUAGGGGGUCAUCCCGACUUACCAACCCGAUGCAAACUACGAAUACCGAAGAAUGUUAUCACGGGAGACACACGGCGGGUGCUAACGUCCGUCGUGAAGAGGGAAACAACCCAGACCGCCAGCUAAGGUCCCAAAGUCAUGGUUAAGUGGGAAACGAUGUGGGAAGGCCCAGACAGCCAGGAUGUUGGCUUAGAAGCAGCCAUCAUUUAAAGAAAGCGUAAUAGCUCACUGGUCGAGUCGGCCUGCGCGGAAGAUGUAACGGGGCUAAACCAUGCACCGAAGCUGCGGCAGCGACACUAUGUGUUGUUGGGUAGGGGAGCGUUCUGUAAGCCGUUGAAGGUGGCCUGUGAGGGUUGCUGGAGGUAUCAGAAGUGCGAAUGCUGACAUAAGUAACGAUAAUGCGGGUGAAAAACCCGCACGCCGGAAGACCAAGGGUUCCUGUCCAACGUUAAUCGGGGCAGGGUGAGUCGACCCCUAAGGCGAGGCCGAAAGGCGUAGUCGAUGGGAAACAGGUUAAUAUUCCUGUACUUGGUGUUACUGCGAAGGGGGGACGGAGAAGGCUAUGUUGGCCGGGCGACGGUUGUCCCGGUUUAAGCAUGUAGGCGGAUG
rnacentral:rRNA from 1 species